GAUGAACGCUGGCGGCGUGCCUAAUACAUGCAAGUCGAGCGAAUGGAUUAAGAGCUUGCUCUUAUGAGGUUAGCGGCGGACGGGUGAGUAACACGUGGGUAACCUGCCCAUAAGACUGGGAUAACUCCGGGAAACCGGGGCUAAUACCGGAUAACAUUUUGAACCGCAUGGUUCGAAAUUGAAAGGCGGCUUCGGCUGUCACUUAUGGAUGGACCCGCGUCGCAUUAGCUAGUUGGUGAGGUAACGGCUCACCAAGGCAACGAUGCGUAGCCGACCGGAGAGGGAGAUCGGCCACACUGGGACUGAGACACGACCCAGACUCCUACGGGAGGCAGCAGUAGGGAAUCUUCCGCAAUGGACGAAAGUCUGACGGAGCAACGCCGCGUGAGUGAUGAAGGCUUUCGGGUCGUAAAACUCUGUUGUUAGGGAAGAACAAGUGCUAGUUGAAUAAGCUGGCACCUUGACGGUACCUAACCAGAAAGCCACGGCUAACUACGUGCCAGCCGCCGCAGUAA
rnacentral:rRNA from 1 species